rnacentral:rRNA from 1 species
GACAGAGGUGCCAAGCGUUAGGCGGAAUCACUGGGCUUAAAGCGUGUGUAGGCGGAUCUGUAAGUACCUUGUGAAAUCCCACGGCUCAACCGUGGAACUGCUUGGUAUACUGCGGGUCUUGAGCCACCUAGGGGCAAGUGGAACAAACGGUGGAGCGGUGAAAUGCGUAGAUAUCGUUUGGAACGCCAAUGGUGAAAACAACUUGCUGGGGGUGUGCUGACGCUGAGAUACGAAAGCCAGGGGAGCAAACGGG